GAUGAACGCUGGCGGCGUGCCUAAUACAUGCAAGUCGAGCGAACAGACGAGGAGCUUGCUCCUUCGACGUUAGCGGCGGACGGGUGAGUAGCACGUAGGUAACCUACCUAUAAGACUGGGAUAACUUCGGGAAACCGGAGCUAAUACCGGAUAAUAUUUCGAACCGCAUGGUUCGAUAGUGAAAGAUGGCUUUGCUAUCACUUAUAGAUGGACCUGCGCCGUAUUAGCUAGUUGGUAAGGUAACGGCUUACCAAGGCAACGAUACGUAGCCGACCUGAGAGGGUGAUCGGCCACACUGGAACUGAGACACGGUCCAGACUCCUACGGGAGGCAGCAGUAGGGAAUCUUCCGCAAUGGGCGAAAGCCUGACGGAGCAACGCCGCGCGAGUGAUGAAGGUCUUCGGAUCGUAAAACUCUGUUAUUAGGGAAGAACAAACGUGUAAGUAACUGUGCACGUCUUGACGGUACCUAAUCAGAAAGCCACGGCUAACUACGUG
rnacentral:rRNA from 1 species